CUGGCCGUAACCAUAUUCUAAUCCAGAAUAUCAGUACGUAUGCUUUCCAUUUACUAUUUCUUGUGCAAGAAAACCACAUGCAUGCAUAUUAAUUUCACUUGCGGAAUGUGAAUUUUCGCAUUUCCCAUCUAAAAUUCAGGAUCCGGACACGGCAGUAAGAGCUUUGCACGGGAUUUUGGAGUAUGGUAAUCAAUAAGGUAUUCUGACCUGUGUUUAUUUUUCUUUUCUUUUUAUUUCUAUUUUGAGUGACUGUCCGAUUGACUUUUAUCAAACAUAUCAUAUUAUGUAUAUUGGUUAUAUUGAGAGCAAGUGGAGGUAUAAAUAAACUUCUGAAAACAAGAUAUUCUUUCAAACUAAUUUUUUCCUGUAGAAUAUUCGGAUUGAUUAAAUCCUUAAAACUUGAGAUGCGACCAAAAUAAUUGUCAGUAUAUAAGAGGUUCUAAUAAAGCUUGUGUAUUACUCUCAAGAACAAAAUUUGAAAUCUUCUUACAAGUUGCAUGACACAAAGCUACACCUCACAUGAUAAUUUCAAUAUCUCUAUUCCACCUCUUCCAUGAGGACAGACAGCUUCAAUGACGAGUUUAAAUUUAAUUGAAGACAUCCAGGAAACAAAAUAUAAAGAUAUAAAAGAUAAAAAAAAAUGCAUUCAGAUAAUAAACCAAACUGAGUGCUGUCAUUUUAUUAAGAUUGGUCUGUGCAAUUUCAGCUUUAAACAUUCAGAUUGCAGAAACUGAGAAUUGCAAUAAAAUAAGGAUUUAUAUUUUAAACGGAGCAAACAUGAUGUACUUCCAAGAAAUUAGUAAAAUAGUAAAGCCGUAAAAGGUAAAUGUAAAUGGUAAAUGUAUACACUUUUCUAUUUACAACUAAAAUCCAACGGUGCUUCUAAUUGACUUUGCAAAAAUUAACACACAAUUACAUAUUUUCAAUAAAGGUAUUUUAACAUCAGCAAUACCUUAUUCAUUCAGAGUUGGUUAUUUCAAAUCCGGCAAAAAUCCAAAAUAAUGGUGACAGGUCAGCGGUUUCGGGUUCACGAAUUGAUUUUCUUUUUUUUAAUGAAAGCAAUUAGGUUUAUAAGGUGCCACCUAUCCGGUAGAUGCUUGAAUUAAAGAACAAUCUUCUUCAGAACUUUGUAUACCGUAACAUCAAAGACAGCGCCAAUAAAAAAGAAAAUUCACAUAUCAUUAAGUCAAACGCGUUAGAGUACACUGCUUAUAAAAAUCAUUUACAAAUAUUAACCUAUGACUCAAAAGAUCCAGCCUCAGGUGAAACUAUAUACGCCUUUGUUACAACAUCAAAAACUGUUACAAAGUUUAAACAUUCGUCUGACAAUUUUACAGUGUACACUACAGAGAUGAUGUCUAUUUACCAAUCAUUAAAAUGGUUACCUUUCCAUCAAAAGUCAGAACAAGAAGUUCUUAUACUCACUCAUUCAAAUAGUGAUAUCCAAUCUAUACAAAAUGAUGUAUCAAGUAGACCCGACAUCCUAGAACCAAUUCAAAUAAUUAUAGCUUGACGACUCAUGAUCAAACAACAAAUAGAGAAGUCACCAUAGAAUGAAUUCCAGCUUAUGUCGGUAUCCUAGGUAAUAAACGGCUGACAAACUAGCAAAAUUAGCCUUAACUAAUGAUAAAAACCUAUGUUAACAUUAAUCUUAGUGCAAACGAUUUUAUUGUUAUAACAACAUCAUUAUAUAAGAAAAAAAUGGCAAACUAGGUUGGACAGAGAUUUCCAAUAAAAUGACAUACGUACAUAACUCGACGUACGGACCUAAGGGGACUGGUUAUUGCCAACCAUUGAUUUUGGUUAAAUACGUCGCUCAAGUUAAAACCAAGUAUUCCAAGAUUAUUAAAACCACACAAUGGAAUGUUCGUCCAUAUCAAAUGAUUUUUACGGGAUAUAAAAUGAUAGAAAUAUUGUGUUUUUUUAUAUAUCACGUGGUUCUCCAGAUUCCCGCCUGAAUUUGCUCUGACAUAAGAUCACGUAUACAGUCCGGGAUGCGGUUCGAUAAAAUUGCUCCCCUUGUUUAUUUCGCUCUCCUGUCAAAUCAUGUAAUUUCGCUACCUCCAAUUGUAGACGCGACAACGAUUGGUGUCGUCAGGACAGAUACGAUUAAAGGAAUCAGUUAGGAAUUAGACGAUCCUCAUUGGUAUAGUGUCGAAAAUGAUGAUAGACAGUAGUUUUAUCAAGAAGUUAUGGAGAUUGUUCCCGAAUAGAUUCCUUAACAUCACAGUGUAUAAGAGACUAAUGAGCCUCGUCUAGUGCAAGCAACUGACAUGCCCUACCUGUUACGCUGACGGAAAAGCCCUCACUUUGAAAGCACGUUAAAAUGUUGUGUGGAAGUUCUGCUAUACAUCUGACAGUCAGAUGUCUUGGAAUUAUUCUGAAGUACAUAUGCCGACCAAAGGCAGGGAACAGAGGGGAGAGGUUUUAAAGUGAUGCUAAUUUGAGAUUCCAAUUUGAACUAUAGAAAGCAAUAUAUAAAGAUAUGUAGGAGAAAUAAUCUAUAUGAAUAAAAUUAUCCCACAAUA